UCCAGCAGCCGCGGUAAUACGUUCCCGGGCCUUGUACACACCGCCCGUCACACCACGAGAGUUUGUAACACCCGAAGUCGGUGGGGUAACCGUAAGGAGCCAGCCGCCUAAGGUGGGACAGAUGAUUGGGGUGAAGUCGUAACAAGGUAGCCGUAUCGGAAGGUGCGGCUGGAUCACCUCCUUUCUAAGGAAAAUUGAAGUACAAGAUACUUCAUAAAAAGACGUUUCUGUUUUCGUUUAGUUUUGAGAGAACUAUCUCUCAACGUUGUUCCUUGAAAACUAGAUAACGAUAACAAUUCAAGUAAUUCACUGAGUUUAAACGCUUAGUUUAGUGAUUCUCUUAAUAAUUGAUUUA
rnacentral:misc_RNA from 1 species